GUCGUAAGUUGAGGACCGCCUGUAUUUGAGGCAGUAAUCUCCCAGCUGCUAUUUUUUUUGCUCUGACCUGAAUCCGUCGGGGAGGAAAAUGCUUAAAAUAGCCUGUUUCUGAUCUGAGAUUAUCUCUCUCUGUGGGCCUCUCUCUCUCUCUCUCUCGUUUUUCUCUCUUUCUCUCUCUUUCUCAUUCUUUUUUCUGUCUCUUUCUCUCUUUCUACCUGUCUCUCUCAUUUUUCUGUCUCUUUCUCUCUCUUUUUCUCUCUACCUCUGGCUUGGGCUCUCUCUCUUUUCUCUGUUUCUUUUUCAUCCUCUCUCUCUCUUUUCUGUCUUUUGCUCUCUUUCUCUCUACCUUUGUCGGUCUCCUCUCUCUUUUUCUCUAUCUCUUUCUCCUUCCUUCACUCUCAUACUUGUUUCUGUCUCUCUCUCUCUCCCUCCCUCCCUCCCUCCCAUUUUUAUGUCUUUCUCUCUCUCUUUAUUCUGGCCCUUUCUCUUUCCACCUGCCUCUCGUUUUUCUGCCUUUCUGUGAUUCUCCUUUUCUGUCUCCUUUUCUCUCAUACUCUUUAUUUCGUCCCUUUCUCUCUUUCAACCUGUCUCUCUCAUUUUUUGGCCUUUCUCUGUCCCUCUCUCAUUUCUCUCUCACACUCACUUUUUAUGUCCCUUUCUCUCUCUCCAACUGUCUCAUUUUUCUGCCUCUUUCAAUUUCUCUAUCCAUCCAUCCAAUUUUUCUUAGUCCCUUUCUCUCUGUCCCUUUUUGUCUGUCUGUCUGUCUGUCUGUCUGUCUCUCUCUCUCUCUCUCACAUACAUACACACACACCCAGACACACUGCUGACCUAGUUUUUUUUUCUUCCCAACUCGCAUCGACAAGCUGAAAAUGCACAAACCACCCAAGAUCCCAGGCGAGAAACAGAUCCGCGAAUCCGUCACAUGUUUGGGCAAACCCCUUAACUCCAAAGAGCGCCCAAACAAAUGAAACCAGGCUCAUCAAAGAAAGUCAUCUGCAUAAUUUAGAAAGGUGUUGGCUUAGAAACCAGGUGAUGGGAAGUUCUAG
rnacentral:lncRNA from 1 species